ensembl:lncRNA
GGGGUAGGGGUGGGGUCAGCUUUAGUUGACCAACCAUGCCUUGAGGAUAAAUUCGAGGGGACCAGAGCAAAAGAGACGACAGGAGAACUCCUCCAAUACAUAGGCUGCUCCAGAGCUUCCAAAGGACUUUCAGCACUUCAUCCCCAAAUCUCUCUGCACGGACGUCACCAGAGACUCAACAAGGUGCCUGUGGCACAGGAUCUGCCUUCAGGACCCUCAGAGCUCAGCCCAGGGACCCUCACUUCAGAAAAGGUGGGAGCCACAGAAAGGGAGGGUCUUCCUGCAGAAUGCCAUAGGCAGUGCCAGACCGAAACCAUCAUACUCUGUUCAGAGUCCAGUGUACUUUGCAGGGCACCACCCAGCACCAGGGAAAGGCCCAGGGUGUGCUGGAGCUGCUACAGGUGGAAAAUGAGGACUACUCUCACGGUUUUCUCUCUGGGGUCCUCUCCCUGUCCCUCUCAUGACUGUCACCCUAGGCAUGGCUUGACUGCACCCACAGCUAUUUCCCCUGAUGGGAGGGGACAGGGAGCUGUGGGGGAGAUUCAGAGAGUACCCCCAGGAAGCCCACCCUGCUUUAUAACUAAUGAUGCCACAACAGAGGGCCAACUCUGCCCCAUCCUCAGGGGAUCUUUGCCAGCAAUCUUCUGCACUGAGUGCGACCGUGGAGGCCAUUUUUCAGUUGCGGGAACUUCAGCCUGCAGAGUGAAAUUACUUGCCCAACACUGCAUCCAGAACCAAAGCUCCUCUCACCCUUCUGAGCUCACUGGGCUGCCCAGAGGCUGCCCAUUUUGCAGACCCUUGCUUUAGAAAGUCCCGGGUUCAAACUGAAUUUGGGGAAAGUAAGACUACUGAGAAAUACAAUGGAGGAGAAAGAAACCCAGCCCGCUCCCUUUGGAGGUGAAGAAGUGUGCUGAGCCAGGCAGCCGGGACUGCCACUUUUCCUGCUGUUUAACUUGUGUUUCUGGAGCGCUGUGAGCAAACACAGUCUUGAAGUCUGGAGUACAGAGGAAUGAGGGAGAGGAAUGUGGGAAGGGACCGUGCGCUGAACCAAGAAACUGCUAAGACCUUUAAAUAUCUCUUGAACUUUUUCUUUCCUUUUCUUGCUUUUGGCUCCCUGCAAUGUUUUGUGUUUAGCUCUGGUUGCCACGAGUGGGCUGUUUUUAGCUGCUUCGUUCCUUCCCGUCUCCUUUUAAUUUUUUUCUCCCUUCCUUUUGCACAAGCCCCAGCAUGAAGUCUCCAGUUCUUAUCUCACUCAGCAAAAACAAACCAAGGCUGAUCUGAAUUGUGGAAUCCCCAGGCGGCUCUCCAGGGAAAACCUCUGCAGUAAUCAAGUCUCCUUCGCUGAAGAUUAACCCCUAACAUAACCCUAACCAGGACCUAUCCGAGGCGGGAGAGACGUUGCUCGCCUUUGUGGAGACAAGGGGUUUUGGAGCGGGGCGCUUCCCUUGCCUCCCACCGGCACGGCACAGCCUGUGCGUGUGAUGAGGGUGUGACCCUGCACACUGUGGGCAUCAAGUCAGGAGCGAGGACGCACGAGGCUCACAUACGGGUCAUCCUCCCCGCCCCCCGCUGCCGCCGUGGCACCGACUGCGGGUGCUCUUCCCUUCUCCUGCCCUUUCAGUCUCCCUCCAGGUCGGCGGGCGCUGAUUUCACAGUUUUCCUGGGGAAAAGAGGGGAGGAGAGCAGGUAGAAGUAGUUUUUGUUGUCCUUGGAUACUAAGUUUCAUUCAAGUCGGGGCGGGGAGGGGGGUGGCCCGACUUCUCCAGCGAGAUUCUUAUCGCUCUUCAAGUUUCGGGAGGAGAGCGGGCAGGCAGUGCCCGCCUGGGACUCCCUGUACGCAGCCCAUACCGCCUCCACCGCCUGCGUGACCUGGAGAUGCGAGCCUAAGUAAGAGUGAUGAGAAGGAUCAGGAUUGGUGGGAGGAGCUGCAGGCACCGCGGUAACACAAACAAGCCGACGAAGCAUAGCGGACGUCUCUGGGGUCUUCCUCGCCCUCCCCUCGCACGCUUCUGUGGACGCCGCUCUGUAUGUUCACUGGGUGCUCUAACCUGAGUCUGCGUUUAUGGGGUUCCACAGUUCUUCGGUGGCUUCCGUGAAUUCAUGGACUCACAGCUUACCCCCUCCCCCCACCCCAGUACACAGCGCUGCAGACGGCUCACAGAGAAAAUAAACAAAUCAACAAAUAAAGGGAACGCGUCCCG